AGGCUUCAUGAUGAUGAUGUAUGAGGCAGUACUCAUGAUGUAUGAUGAUGAUGAUCAGGACUCAUGAUGAUGAUGAUGAUCAGGACUCAUGAUGAUGAUGAUGAUGAUCAGGACUCGAUGAUGAUGAUGAGGACUCGAUGAUGAUGAUGAUGAUGAUCAGGACUCAUGGUGAUGAC
rnacentral:lncRNA from 1 species